UCAUGUUGUGCUGAACUAUCAGCUGCACCACCUUCAUCGUCAUGACACCAUGAAUUCAACAACGCGGUCGUAAUGCUUGUAUAGAGAAAGACUAAUAUGAUGUAUGGAUGAUGUGGCUCACGGUGAAACAUACUUUAUGGCAUAGUACAGGCAUGGGUUCAUGGUAUAAACACCGAAAUUGCAGCAAAACAUUUAAAUUGUGUUUUUACGUCAAAUUGAUAUUCUAAAUCGCUUACCUAUUCAAACAGAUUCGGAGACAAUUGUUUGCUUCCUUUUUACGUGAGUCAUAAAGACGUAAAACAAAUGAGUUCUUGCACCCGAGUGGACAGUGACGUAACAGGUGGUCAUAAUAUUUGCUCGAAGUACCAACAAAAAGCUGGUUCUGCCACAAAAAAAAAAGUUCAACUAUUAAUCGCGGUGGUUCCCAUUAACCACUCUAUUCUACUCUUCUCACCUCAACUCUUUAGGUGUCUGUCAUCAUCAACUAUUAUACGUAAUUUACAAAUCUCUACCAUAUAAUGAGUGCCCCAAUUUUACAUGUAUAAAACACACGGCAGUAACAGUAUUUUCCAGAGAGAGAGAGAGAGAGAGAGAGAGAGAGAGAGAGAGAGAGGAGGGAGUGGGGUUGGUGGAGACGUAGUGAGGAGGGUAUGGGCAGACAGAAGUGUGGAGGUAGUGGGUAAGUGGACGUCACAGCUCCGUCAUGCUUCUCUUGUUUGUUUCAUUGCUCCGCUGAGUUAGCUAAUAUGUGCUUUGACCUCAAAUGACAAGAGUAAACACCUCAAUCAACCACAUUUGUCAAUGCACGAUAGUGUCUAAAGUUACUUGAGGGUGUGAAAAAAAAGCUGUGCCAGAAUGAUUUCGAUUCAACUAUUUGUUUGAAAGAUGUAUGUGAAAAACGAUGCCUCACGUCCUCUGAAAUGCAUGGCAAAUAAUCAACAUUUCAAGAUACACUGGAUUCAACUCAAUUUAGCCGAGUAGUUUGAUACUUUUCUUUCUCUCAUUCACCUCUUGCAAUAUGAGGCUAUCACAUCAUCUACCUAUUAGUGGGCAUCUAUUACGUCAUUAAACAAGGUGCACUAAGUUGCAUUUUAUGACUUCACUGCAGUGAUUUCAGAUCCUGUAUUUCCGGAGCUUCAUUUAGUGGGAAUACUGAUUCGAGACAACUCGAGAUCCGGGCCCACCCAACCAUGACGCAGAGGUAGGGUGGUUCAAGAGAAACAGCGGCGGUGUGUGGGUCUCGUGCUUUUAUCGUCCUCUUAUUGGCUGUCGGCCAUAUUCAUUGCUGGUCAAUGCGGGGCAUCACUUUGCUCACAGCACAUCGGAAAUCAUGCCCGGGAGCAGCAAGACGGUUCCGGCUCUUCGACUUGAUGGUCAUGAAGGCUGAGAACCCUGUUCGCACUCCCACGUCGAGGGAAAAUCAGUAGCUGGGGAACAGCGUGACGGGCUAACGUUGGGUACGAGGAGGCCAUGCUUACCCAGAAGUUUAAAGACUUCCUGGCCAGAUGGGAAAAACAAACUGUUCAUUUGUACAGUCAACGAAGAGAAGCCAAGCGAGAAACAAGUUGACUGUGGGGAAUUCGAAGACCAGAAGCUCUCGCCAAGAGUAAUGGUGGAUCUCAGAGAUGUUGGGUGCAGCAAUAGAGCCAGACUGAUGGCAGCCGGGGCACGGGAUGACGGCGGUGACAGCCUCCUGGCGGGGCGCGGCGGGCGGCAUAACGAAAUGCAGGACUCGAUGCAUCUACGUGUGAACCAACUUCCCCUUGCUACCGUGAAUGGCGAUGAUGACUGAUGCUGAGUCGAGUCGUCUCCGCGGAAACACUAGCCAUUUCCCACCACCAUGACUCCUCUCCCCCAUGAAGAACUGACAUGUUUGAAAAAUCUCCCCGCACUGUGAAACUAUUAUCGAAAAACCAUUAGUUGUGAUACCUUCACCCUCUCGUAGGUUUCCCUGGCAACAGAGAGCGACUGAAAAAAGAAGCACUCAGAACUCCACACUCUCACGCGAAACCCAAAACCGCCAAGCUAUUUCCUUCCCAAGUGAUGACACCAAUAUAUCUGCCGGCGUUCCUUCAGAUAAGGCACGGCCGGGUACGUGCCGCGAAGCUACCACUGUUGCCACUGUCGCCUCGACCCUAUACAACUUGCUUGCUUAAUGAACUUGACACUAGUAGAAAUCUAACAAACUGUAAAGAAAUAUGACUACUUCAAGAAUAUAAUAGUUUUCAGUGUUUAUUUUCGUUCUCUAAUUUGGUAGAAAAAAUGUGAAACGAGUACUUGAAAUAUCAACUAUUAUUAUCGCAUGUACAGUCAGCUCCCUACUUGAACCAGCCUUCCUCCUCUUAUUUUUAGCUAAAGCGACAUGUGAAUUUAAGUGAUUUUGAAAGGUAAAUAUAACUAGCCAGAAGUCGUGACAUGAAAAUUAAGCCACACCACCUUUCUCAAAACUGUGUCCACCUCCUCAUUCGCUCCGUAUUUAUAUGUUCCUUACCCACACCAUGCCUCUCUUCUAUAUAAGCACCGUUCUACACACACACUCACACUCACACUCUCACUCUCUCUCUCUCUCUCUCUCUCUCUCUCUCUCUCUCUCUAAAUCCUGAUGAUUACAUUUACUUUAUUAAAACUAUGAUUGUAUCUUUCAUUUCUUCUUGGCUCUUCAGUAACUAUAAUAAUCCAAUAAAACCAAGGACAACUGCCAUUUCCCCACCACCCUUCCCGGGCCCCAAAUUGGAAAUUAGGAGCGGGCGCGUGCACGUACGUGUGU